AACGAACGCUGGCGGCAUGCCUAACACGUGCAAGUCGAACGAGACCUUCGGGUCUAGUGGCGCACGGGUGCGUAACGCGUGGGAACCUGCCCUUAGGUUCGGAAUAACUCCCCGAAAGGGGUGCUAAUACCGGAUAAUGUCUUCGGACCAAAGAUUUAUCGCCUUUGGAUGGGCCCGCGUUGGAUUAGCUAGUUGGUAGGGUAAAAGCCUACCAAGGCGACGAUCCAUAGCUGGUCUGAGAGGAUGAUCAGCCACACUGGGACUGAGACACGGCCCAGACUCCUACGGGAGGCAGCAGUGGGGAAUAUUGGACAAUGGGCGAAAGCCUGAUCCAGCAAGGCCGCGUGAGUGAUGAAGGCCUUAGAGUUGUAAAGCUCUUUUACCCGGGAUGAUAAUGACAGUACCGGGAGAAUAAGCUCCGGCUAACUCCGUG
rnacentral:rRNA from 1 species